UACGGAGGGCGCAAGCGUUGUUCGGAAUCACUGGGUGUAAAGCGCGUGUAGGCGGCCGGGGCAAGUCGGAUGUGAAAUCCCGAGGCUCAACCUCGGAACUGCAUUCGAAACUGCUCGGCUCGAGUCCCGGAGAGGAUGGCAGAAUUCCCGGUGUAGGGGUGAAAUCCGUAGAUAUCGGGAGGAAUACCAGUGGCGAAGGCGGCCAUCUGGACGGUGACUGACGCUG
rnacentral:rRNA from 1 species